rnacentral:rRNA from 1 species
AGUGAACGCUGGCGGUAGGCCUAACACAUGCAAGUCGAACGGCAGCACAGUAAGAGCUUGCUCUUACGGGUGGCGAGUGGCGGACGGGUGAGGAAUACAUCGGAAUCUACUUUUUCGUGGGGGAUAACGUAGGGAAACUUACGCUAAUACCGCAUACGACCUACGGGUGAAAGCAGGGGAUCUUCGGACCUUGCGCGAUUGAAUGAGCCGAUGUCGGAUUAGCUAGUUGGCGGGGUAAAGGCCCACCAAGGCGACGAUCCGUAGCUGGUCUGAGAGGAUGAUCAGCCACACUGGAACUGAGACACGGUCCAGACUCCUACGGGAGGCAGCAGUGGGGAAUAUUGGACGAUGGGCGCAAGCCUGAUCCAGCCAUACCGCGUGGGUGAAGAAGGCCUUCGGGUUGUAAAGCCCUUUUGUUGGGAAAGAAAAGCAGCAGGUUAAUACCCCGCUGUUCUGACGGUACCCGAAGAAUAAGCACCGGCUAACUUCGUG